AUCACAUUAAGUCGUGUGUGCAGGCGUCUGGCUCGUGGCUCCUGGAACUUUCUCAGCGAUUACGAAGUAGUUCCUUCCUUUGUGUGUGAUGGAGGAUAAGAGAGGAGUGACGGGAGAUUCAGCCAUACCUGUCAGUCAGAAACAAUGAUGUAACUCAGCAAUCACAAUCACACUGAUCCUGGUACACUAACACCACCUACAGGUCAUCCAGGGUUUGUGCGAGACAGGAAGCAGCUCACCGGUGGACACGCAGUGCCGCAGGGACUCCAGGAGGUUUGGGCUGGAGAACUUGACCACGCCUCUGAAGAGCUCGUCUCGGUCACUGAGUGUGUCGUUGCUGCUGCCU